rnacentral:rRNA from 1 species
CCCUUAGAUGUUCUGGGCCGCACGCGCGCUACACUGAUGCAUUCAACGAGCCUAUCCUUGACCGACAGGUCCGGGUAAUCUUUGAAUCUGCAUCGUGACGGGGAUAGAUUAUUGCAAUUAUUAAUCUUCAACGAGGAAUGCCUAGUAGGCGCAAGUCAUCAGCUUGCGUUGAUUACGUCCCUGCCCUUUGUACACACCGCCCGUCGCUACUACCGAUUGAACGGUUUAGUGAGGGCCUCGGAUUGGUCUCGGCCCGCUCUUUACCGGGCGGCGCCGUUGGUCGAGAAGACGCUCGAACUUGAUCGUUUAGAGGAAGUAAAAGUCGUAACA